AGAGUGACAAAUGUCAACCUAAAGAAUCGUUUCUUUGCUCAACUGGACCAAAAUACCCCCGGCUUCAGAGCCUUUAUCAAAAAAUGCUUCUCGGACAGGAAAAGCAUCUGAAGUCCUUGAUCAGCUCUUCAGGAUUUAUGACCUCCAGGAUCAAGUUGAUGUCCAUGUUAGACGUGCUGCUGUACUCCGGGCUCUCCCUCCGUAUAUGCAUGAGAGUGAUGUCAGCUUUUUCAAGAUGUGGGACGUGAUGCUGUCUUAUGAACCGGACAUCAUUGAUGUACCACUUGGGCUCCUCCUAAUCAAUCAAACUUCAUCAGAUGCCAAUUUUUUCUGCACAGAGAGGAUUGCAGUUGUGCUAGAGGGUGACAUUGUUCUUGAGUCCUCCACACUGGCUGAUGCAUUUGUCAUUCUCUUUGCACUUACGUACACCCUGCACCUUGACUAUCCAAAAACGCUGCUCAACACAUUCGACUUCAUCCAAAAGGUGUUGAUGGGUGUUGAGGAUGGAAAGUUGAGGCCUAGAGUUUUGAGUCUGAAAAAUGACCUGUUGGCAGUUGAGUAAGCACAUUUGUUUUUCUUGCUGUAAAACAUCUAACAGAUGGGUUUUAAAGGUAUUGUUUUUGAAGUUUUAAUGUGUUCGAGUUAAAGUUGAAUGAUGUCCUGUUUUGCACUUUUUUAUACCUGUGUAAUAUGUUUAUAUGUCUAAUACAUAUAUUGGCAUUGACAAAUAUCCUAAAUGUGUUCUAUGGUAUGACAGCAGAAAUUUAGAAAAAAAAUAUUUAAAAUAAUUUUUAAUCUCUAAUGGUAUUUGUAACUCUUAACAGUAAAGAUAACUCUUUCUCAUGUUAUUUAUUUCAAAAUCUUUGCAAUGUCACACCAUAGGACACAUUUACAUAUGUCAAUUACCCGUGUGUAUUAUAUAUGUUUUUCAGAAAGUGUAGGUGGAAUGGUGUGCUUGCAUUAGGCAUUUGCACAUUGCCCUAUCUUUGUUUAAAAAUUUAAUGAUGUUAAGUUGAGGGAUGCCAUGUUUGCACAUGGAACAGGUCGAUGUGAGAGUUGUUAGGGUUAAAUGCAAGUUAAAUGAUGGCUUGCUUGCAGUAGACAAUUGCACAUUGCCAUACUUUUGCCUUUUUUUGUAUAUUAAACCUCUUACAGAAUUGUUCAUAUUGUAGUAGUUGUAAUGCUAGAUGCUCAG